rnacentral:rRNA from 1 species
CACGGGGGGAGCAAGCGUUGUUCGGAAUCACUGGGCGUAAAGGGCGUGUAGGCGGUCAAGUAAGUGGAAUGUGAAAUCCCUCGGCUUACCCGAGGACCUGCAUCCCAAACUGCUUGGCUUGAGUACGGGAGAGGAUGAGGGAAUUCCUGGUGUAGCGGUGAAAUGCGUAGAUAUCAGGAGGAACACCGGUGGCGAAGGCGCUCAUCUGGCCCGAUACUGACGCUGAGGCGCGAAAGCUAGGGGAGCAAACGGG